rnacentral:rRNA from 1 species
CGACGGAACCGGGAAACGGCGUGAAUAAACUACCGCAAUAAGCGCAACGAAUGUCGCAUGACAGUGGUGUAAAAAACUCCGGUGGUAUAGGAUGGACCCGCGUCUGAUUAGCCGGUUGGUGGGGUAAAAGCCUACCAAAGCGAAGAUCAGUAGCCGAGUUGAGAGACUGACCGGCCACAUUGGGACUGAGACACGGCCCAGACUCCUACGGGAGGCAGCAGCC